rnacentral:lncRNA from 1 species
CUUUGCUCCGUCGGAAUGAGGUGACUCGUGGGCGGUUGGUCCUUUGGCUCGCUUCCUGGUCGGAGCGACAUGCGGCCGCGGUGCCUGCAUUUACUCCAAGGCUCUAGAACCCAGCGGGGCCUUUCGAUUUCAAAAUAUACCUGAAGAUGAGAGGAGGAAGAUUUAAUGGAAUUGAUGGACAAACCUGCUGGUGGACACUUUGCCAAUUGAGAGCGUGGGUAAUGGGGAGAAGUGAUGGACCAAAUUUAUAGAUGAAACUCAAGCUAUGUAAGAAGACAAGUGUGCCUAGGGAGGUCCAUGUGACAUUUGUGAGGAGAACAAUAAGGGAUGAAAUAUUGAAGAGAGUGAGGGAAGAACCAUUACAAUACAGAAAAAAGGAAAUCAGGGUGUUGGCUUCCCUUGGAAGAUAAGAGGUCUAAGACGACUUAUCAGUUUUUGACAACAAAGCUGAAUGAAAAGGAAUACAUUUUAAAUGGCCGAUACCUGAAGGAAUCCUAAUUAACUGGAAGUCUAGAAGAUAUAGAGUGGAUUCUCUUUUUAUGAGAGACAUGCAAGCAUUUUUGCACAUGGUGCACAAGAUAAGGAACCCAAAAGAAAACUGAGUUCAUAUGCUAAUAUGGUGGCAUUGUAGUCAGACAGCGCUGAAAGGCGUGGAGGAUGUGGUUGAGUUCGCCCCUCCUGAAUGACCUGAUUGGUCUGAGCUCCCAGCCCCUCAGUGAAAGACUCCCAGAAGCAGAUGGAAAUAGAAGAGGACAGGAAUUGCAGCAUAGGUGGACUUAUAUCCUUCAACUGAACUACCUUUCUCAACAAAUGGAGGCAAAGAUCGUUUCUAUUUAAAGGUU